rnacentral:SRP_RNA from 1 species
GCUGGGGGUGGUGGUGCGCGCCUGUAGUCCCAGCUCCUCCGGAGGCUGAGGCAGGAGAAUCGCUUGAGCCCAGAAGUUCUGGGCUGUAGUGAGCUAUGCCGAUCAGGUGUCCGCACUAAGUUCGGCAUCAAUAUGGUGACCUCCCGGGAGGGGGGGACCACCAGGUUGCCUAAGGAGGGGUGAACCGGCCCAGGUCGGAAACGGAGCAGGUUAAAACAUUGCUUGUUGCUAGCUCUAAGUGCCUCCAAAUGGAUCCUUAAGGAGGUUCAAUCAUGUAGGAUACAAAAUAUUUUAU